GCUCAUGCCUUUAAUAAUCAUUGCUACACAGGGAAGCUGAGGCUAAGGUAUCUCUUGAAUUCAGGAGUUCUGAGCUUUAGGGGAUGAAGCCAAUCAAGUGUCUCCACUACAUCUGGCAUCAGUAUGGUGAGCAUUUCAGAACAGGAGGCCACCAGGUUGCCUAUGAAAGGGGUACACCAGCCCAGAUUUGAAAUGGAGCAGGUCAAAACUCCCAUGCCAAUCAACAGUAGGAUAAGUCUGUGAAUGAGGCCAGCACUUCUAUGCUGGGAGAGAUAGGGAGACCCAGUAUUU
rnacentral:SRP_RNA from 1 species